rnacentral:rRNA from 1 species
CGGAGGAUCCAAGCGUUAUCCGGAAUCAUUGGGUUAAAGGGUCCGUAGGCGGCUUAAUAAGUCAGCGGUGAAGUUUGGCUUAACCAAAUUAGCCAUUGAUACUGUUAGGCUUGAAUUUGUGAAGUAACUAGAAUAUGUAGUGUAGCGGUGAAAUGCUUAGAUAUUACAUGGAAUACCAAUUGCGAAGGCAGGUUACUAACAACGAUUGACGCUGAUGGACGAAAGCGUGGUAGCGAACAGGAUU